UCAAGCUACAAAGGGCGCAAGGGGAAUGCCUUGGCACUGGGAGCCGAAGAAGGACGCGACAAGCUGCGAUAAGCUGCGGGGAGUGGCAAAUACACUUAGAUCCGCAGAUUUCCGAAUGGGGAAACCCACGGGGGCAAUACCCCCGUACCAUACGGUGAAUUCAUAGCCGUAUGGAGGGAACCCGCCGAACUGAAACAUCUAAGUAGGCGGAGGAAAAGAAAUCAACAGAGAUUCCGCUAGUAGUGGCGAGCGAACGCGGAAGAGGCCAAACCGGAGGUAUCACAGAACCGACAAUGAUGUUUGUCGGCUGUGUGAUAUUUCCGGGGUUUGGACGGCACACGCUAUCACGGAGGUUAGCCGAAGCGCAUGGGAAGGCGCAUCACAGAGGGUGAGAAUCCCGUAGGCGAAAACCAAAGUGGGGCAGCCGUAUCCAGAGUACUGCGGGACACGAGGAAUCCCGUGGGAAGAUGGGUGGACCACCAUCCAAGCCUAAAUACUACCCAGUGACCGAUAGUGAAGCAGUACCGUGAGGGAAAGGUGAAAAGUACCCCGGGAGGGGAGUGAAAUAGAACCUGAAACCUUGUGCCUACAAGCACAGAGAGCGCGUUUAUGCGUGAUCUGGUACUUUUUGUAGAACGGUCCGGCGAGUUAAUGUUUGCAGCAAGGUUAAGGUACUGGAGUACCGGAGCCGAAGGGAAACCAAGUCUUAAUAGGGCGCUGGAGUUGCAAGUAUUAGACCCGAAACCGGGUGACCUAUCCAUGUCCAGGCUGAAGUGAAGGUAAAACUUCAUGGAGGGCCGAACCCACGUUCGUUGAAAAGACCGGGGAUGAGGUGUGGAUAGCGGAGAAAUUCCAAUCGAACUCGGAGAUAGCUGGUUCUCCCCGAAAUAGCUUUAGGGCUAGCCUUAUGGGAGAUUAACGGAGGUAAAGCACUGAAUGGGCUAGGGGCCGAUAAGGUUACCGAACCCUAUCAAACUCUGAAUGCCGUAUAAUUUAAUCCAUAGGAGUCAGACAGCGUGAGAUAAGUUUCGUUGUCAAGAGGGAAAAAGCCCAGACCAACAGCUAAGGUCCCUAAUAUAUACUAAGUGGAAAACGAUGUGGAGUUGCAAAAACAACCAGGAUGUUGGCUUAGAAGCAGCCACUCAUUAAAAGAGUGCGUAAUAGCUCACUGGUCGAGUGACUCUGCGCGGAAAAUUCAACGGGGCUAAGUAUAUAACCGAAGCUUUGGCUGCGCACUUAUGUGCGCGGGGUAGGGGAGCGUCGUAUGCUGGGGCGAAGCGUGACCGUAAGGACGCGUGGACUGCAUACGAGUGAGAAUGCCGGAAUAAGUAGCGAGAAUUAUGUGGGAAUCAUAAUGGCCGAAAAUCUAAGGUUUCUUGGGGAAGGUUCGUCCGCCCAAGGUAAGCCGGGAGCUAAGGUGAGGCCGGAAGGCGUAGCCGAUGCACAUACGGUGGAUAUUCCGUAGCCGCCGACAUUUAAACCACAGGGACACUUGAAGAUAUCCGGACCCGGGCGUUGGUUGACCCGGGCGUAAGGGACCGAAAUUAGAGUAGGGAAGCCGGAGAUUCUGCGAGGCGAGAAAAGCUGUGGCGUAUACUAAGGCGCCCGUACCGCAAACCGACACAGGUAGAUGAGGAGAGAAUCCUAAGGCCAACGGGAGAAGGGUUGUCAAGGAACUCGGCAAGUUGACCCCGUAACUUCGGGAGAAGGGGUGCCCUCAGCAAUGGGGGCCGCAGAGAAUAGGCCCAAGCGACUGUUUAGCAAAAACACAGGUCUCUGCUAAGUCGUAAGACGACGUAUAGGGGCUGACGCCUGCCCGGUGCCGGAAGGUUAAGAGGAGAGGUUAGCUGUAAAGCGAAGCUUUGAAUUGAAGCCCCGGUAAACGGCGGCCGUAACUAUAACGGUCCUAAGGUAGCGAAAUUCCUUGUCAGGUAAGUUCUGACCCGCACGAAUGGCGUAACGAUUUGGGCACUGUCUCGACAGCCCGCCCGGCGAAAUUGUAGUACCGGUGAAGAUGCCGGUUACCCGCAACUAGACGGAAAGACCCCAUGGAGCUUCACUGCAGCUUGAUACUGGAUUUUGAUAUUUCAUGUGUAGGAUAGGUGGGAGGCUUAGAAGCCCGGGCGCCAGCUUGGGUGGAGCCGUCCUUGAAAUACCACUCUUGGAAUAUUGGAAUUCUAACCUGCGCCCAUGAAUCUGGGCGGGGGACACUGUCAGGUGGGCAGUUUGACUGGGGCGGUCGCCUCCAAAAGAGUAACGGAGGCGCUCAAAGGUUGGCUCAGCACGGACGGAAAUCGUGCAUAGAGUGCAAACGCGUAAGCCAGCCUAACUGCGAGACCGACGGGUCGAGCAGUAACGAAAGUUGGAGUUAGUGAUCCGGCGGUAUGUGCGUGGAAAUGCCGUCGCUCAACGGAUAAAAGCUACCCUGGGGAUAACAGGCUGAUCUCCCCCAAGCGUCCACAGCGACGGGGAGGUUUGGCACCUCGAUGUCGGCUCGUCACAUCCUGGGGCUGUAUUCGGUCCCAAGGGUUCGGCUGUUCGCCGAUUAAAGUGGCACGCGAGCUGGGUUCAGAACGUCGUGAGACAGUUCGGUCCCUAUCUGUUGCGGGCGUAGGAGAUUUGAAGGGAGCUGUCCUUAGUACGAGAGGACCGGGAUGGACGUACCUCUGGUGCACCAGUUGUCCUGCCAAGGGCACAGCUGGAUAGCUAAGUACGGACGAGAUAAACGCUGAAAGCAUCUAAGCGUGAAACUCUCCCUAAGAUUAGAUCUCCCACACUGUUAAGGUGGUAAGGCUCCAGAGAGACUAUCUGGUUGAUAGGCCGGAGGUGGAAGCGUGGUAACACGUGCAGCUGACCGGUACUAAUAAGCCGAGGGCUUGACCUU
rnacentral:rRNA from 1 species